rnacentral:rRNA from 1 species
AACGAACGCUGGCGGCAUGCCUAACACAUGCAAGUCGAACGAGACCUUCGGGUCUAGUGGCGCACGGGUGCGUAACGCGUGGGAACCUGCCCUUAGGUUCGGAAUAACUCCCCGAAAGGGGUGCUAAUACCGGAUAAUGUCUUCGGACCAAAGAUUUAUCGCCUUUGGAUGGGCCCGCGUUGGAUUAGCUAGUUGGUAGGGUAAAAGCCUACCAAGGCGACGAUCCACAGCUGGUCUGAGAGGAUGAUCAGCCACACUGGGACUGAGACACGGCCCAGACUCCUCCGGGAGGCGGAAGGGGGGAAUAUUGAACAAGGGGCGAAAGCCUGAUCCAGCAAUGCCGCGGGAGUGAUAAAGGCCUUAGGGUUGUAAAGCUUUUUUACCGGGGAUGAUAAGGAAAGUACCGGGAGAAAAAGCCCCGGUAAACCCCUG